rnacentral:rRNA from 1 species
GGUCCGGUGAUCCCAGCGCGGAGCCCCAACCCGAUCCCAUCCCGAACUCGGCCGUUAAACUCCCCAGCGCCCAUGGUACUGUGUCUCAAGACACGGGAGAGUCGGUCAUCGCCGGACCU